AAUGCGAUACGUAAUGUGAAUUGCAGGUUUUCGUGAAUCAUCGAAUCUUUGAACGCACAUUGCACCCUCUGGUAUUCCGGAGGGUAUGCCUGUUUGAGCGUCAUUUCUCUCUCAAACCUUAGGGUUUGGUAUUGAGUGAUACUCUCUUCUGGGUUAAC
rnacentral:rRNA from 1 species